CACAUUUUUCCUGAAUGCUAGAGCAGAACCCUAUUGUAAUCUUAUUGAGAUCUCCUCGAAGGACGGCGCCGUUCCACACAGACGCGCCGUCGUAGACAGUCACCUGACCAGCAAGGACAACAUUUGGCGCCACGUAGGCAUCCACGGCAACUUUCGGGGCCCACUGGCCAAGUGGAAUGAUCUUCCUCUGUCCUCUGUAGUCCCACUUCACUCGAUCCGGGGGCGCCACGUAGGCAUCGACGGCAACUUUCGGGGCCCACUGGCCAAGUGGAAUGAUCUUCCUCUGUCCUCUGUAGUCCCACUUCACUCGAUCCGGCGAUUCCUUUAUUGCGGCCUGAGCCUCUGUUGCCAGCGAGCGGCGGAUGAGAUUG
rnacentral:lncRNA from 1 species